GAUGAACGCUGACAGAAUGCUUAACACAUGCAAGUCUUUGGCGAAGCUGUGCUUGCACAGCCUAGCCAAGGCGGACGGGUGAGUAACGCGUAAGGAACUUGCCCUGCAGUCAGGGAUAACAGACGGAAACGACUGAUAAGACCUGGUAAAGUCAGGCGGACUCAUGUCCAGCCUGAUGAAAAGAGAUGCUGCAGGAGAGCCUUGCGUCCUAUUAGCUUGUUGGUGGGGUAACGGCCCACCAAGGCGAUGAUAGGUAGCCGGCCUGAGAGGGUGGACGGCCACAAGGGGACUGAGAUACGGCCCUUACUCCUACGGGAGGCAGCAGUGGGGAAUAUUGGACAAUGGGGGCAACCCUGAUCAAGCAAUUCUGUGUGCACGAUGAAGGUUUUCGGAUUGUAAAGUGCUUUCAGCAGGGAAGAAAAAAAUGACGGUACCUGCAGAAGAAGCGACGGCUAAAUACGUG
rnacentral:rRNA from 1 species